GUGGCCGGUGUGCUGAGUUGCUUCCUUCUCAGAGAUCGUUUCUUUUUCAGGAGGUGUUGCUUUUUACCUACACUCCACGACUUGUCGAAGGGUGUUGGUUGUGGCCAUUUGGAAGUGUCGAGACACACCAGAGAAGGGUUAGGACGUCUUUGAGGACGCGUGGUAACAGACGUGAUUUGAGGUGGAAGGGCCGGGGAAAUGCCUACUAAAGCCUGUUGCUAUUACUUAAAUUGCUGCCUUAAGAGACUCCUAACAUGGGCCCAAGGCAUUUGAGCUAAAUGAAUAAACUGGGCUUUGUGCCUUGUCAAGUCAUUUGCACUUCAGUGGGAAGCCUUUCCUUAAAGAGGGGCAUUUUAUGCAGGAAGAAUAAUAAAGGAGGAAUGAGGAGACAGGAAAAUGGGGGGGAGGGGCGGGUAGGGUGGGUGUGUAUUAGAAGCAAACUUCCUGCCUCAUUCUGUGGCUGGGCUUCCUAAUCUUUUGGGGGUCCUUUUGAGACUCAGUGAAAGUUUCCUCAUUAUGAUGCUGCUCCCCAAACAGCUCUGGAAUUCACCCACUUCUGAGGGAUUGGGAGCCAGAAUUCUUCAUCAGUGUCUUAUCCUCAAGAUCUUCCCUCUCCCAACCCCAUCUUGGCUGAUUUAACUUCUAUGGGGAUUUUUUUUUUUAACUGCCACAAGGUAUAUAAUCUUCGAAAGUGAAUUUCCUCCUUGUUUCUUUUGAAAGAUAUUUUUAAACAUGGAGAGAACAAGUGAUGUAUAACAACUCUAUCAGAAGUUCAUUAUGUGGAAAAUAAGAAAAAAGUGUAAAGAAAAAAACACAAAACCUGUAAUCCCAAACCCUAAAGCACGAAGGAGUGCCUGGAGCUGCCUGCAGGCUGUGUGGAAGAUGAAGCUGGCAUCCUGGAGGACAGAGCAGAGACACAGAGUGAGUCAGCAUAUGCAUGCAUGACAUCAAGAACUGUGGAUGUCAUGAAAAUUCCCCUUUGUUACAGGAACGGAGGACAAUGCCAUAUGGAUCCCUUUCUGGGUAGUGCAGAAGGGCUCUACAUAUAUCACUUGGAGUGCUUCUGUAAGGAAGAUUCCUUGACUCAUCUACUUUAACAUGUUUUAUUACUUAAUAGCAACUGGCUACCUGCCCACUCUACCAGACUGACUGCUUACUGGACAUCUGCUGAAUUUCCAUGUCAUCUCUGUAGCAAGAGGCUUCUGUGCCUAUUUGCACAGAUGAAUCUGAGGCAAGAUUGUAACUUUUUAUCAGACUGUUAUGGUUUUUGUCAAUGAUAAGAGUUGGCUGUUGCCACUGCCAAAGAUGCUACUAAUAAACUGCAAGGAUUCUUUUUAGGGUACGUGCCACCCUAAUGAUAGGUAUCAUCGGCUGAAUGGGUUGUGAGGACCUAUCUGGGGUGUGAGGAGCACUACACUGAGCUUGGAGACAGGGCUCUGUGCAGAAUCUGCUUUUGUUAGCAGUGACCAUGGAAGAGGGCUUUGGAAAGCACAAAGCACUAAGCAACGUAGUCUACGUGUGCUUAGAACCAGGCCCAAGGACAAAUGAACAAAGACUUAUUACUGGAACUAUUCUUUACAUGGUCAAUUAUGGUCUCUUAAUUGCCACUCUGAAAGCCUCAUCUUAGUUCUUUUUCUGGCUGACUGCAGUACUUGAUGUCCUCAAUCAUUUCCUCCUUUCCUAGAAUUCUCCUUCUUUGGCUUUUCAGGAACUGUCACAGUUCUCCUCCUCCUCCUACUGAAUCUUUAUGAUCUCUCUUGUUGGCAUUUCUUUUUUUUAUCAGCCCAUUAAUAAUGAUAGGUCUUACCUAUGAUUUCAUAUUGACCCUCUUCUGCACUACAUCCCAUCUCAUGGCUCUGAUUAUCAGUGAUCCAAAUCUUUAAGUUCUCUCUUGGGAUUUUUCUCCACUUGGAUGUCCAAAAGGUACCUCAAAUACAUUAUGUUCAACCCUGAAAUUCUGAGCUCUCAUUUUCAUCAAAACCUUCUAGUAUUAGAAACCUCAGUCAUCUUUAAAUCUUAACCCUUAAUGUUCUUUGUUCAGUCAGUUACCAAGUCCUGCUGAUUCUCCUCUGAGGUGCUUCUUGAAUCCAUUUCAUCUCCCCCACUCUCACUGUCCCUGUCCUAAUUCAGAUGCAUCAUCUCCUUGGACUACCAUAGCUAUAGCCUAAGUGGUCUCCCACUCCAGUCCACUCUCCACAUUGCCACCACAAUCCUCUCUCACAGAUCUGAUUAAGUCACUCUCUUGCUUUAAUAACUACUUAUAGGAGGAAUCAAGUUUCUUUGGGCCUUUUAUUUUCCUUGUUUCUAUCACAUGAAUAUUUUCAUAAAUAUUUCAAAUAAUAUGAAAGUAUAUAUUGUUGGCUGUAUAUAUUUUUCGCACCAAGCAGAAAGGUGGAAGACUGGGAUCACAUUUUACUCAUCCAUCUUGUAUUCCUCACAGGCUUGUUCUCUUAAUACAUAAUUUGGUGAAUGAUUAUAGAACUGAAACUGCUGCUACCCCAUACUAACACUUCUCAGUGUACUACAAGAGGUCCUGGACAAACUAUGGUCUGUGGGCCAAAUCUGGCUUGCUGCUUUUGUAAAUAAUUUACUUUUGUAAAUAAACUGAAAAACAGCCAUGCCCAUUUAUUUAUGUAUUCUACAGCUGCUUUUGUGCUACAACAGCAGAGUCGAGUAGUUGGGACUGUAGGGACAGCAAAGCUGAAAAUAUUUAUAAUUUGGCCCUUUACAGAAAGUUUGCCAACACUUAUACUAGAAGAUUAUUAUGUACCAACUUUAAUUUAAAGUGAAUAACUCAGUCACUAAUAUAAUGUUUUAUAUACUAUAAGUCUGAUGAUGGGAGUUAUUAAAAUAGGAGAUGAGAAAUCCAAAGGAACCACUUGGCUCUAGGAUACUCAAAGUCUGGUCUGUGAAAGAUCUCCUGUACACUGAAUCACUUCAGUAUGGAAGAGGCUUAACAAAACCAACAAUAUCUCAUAAAAUCUACCAGGUGGAGAGAGAACUUUCCCUGGCUCACUCCACUCCAGCCAAACUGACCAACCUUGCCUCAAUUAUGCCAGGGUUUAGUUUGUCCUCACUUAAGGGCUGGCUGUUUUCUUUCCUGGGGGUGCUCUUCCCCCAGAUCUCUACAUGGUGGACUCCUUCAUGUAAUUCAGUUUUGUUUAAAUGUCACCUCUCCCACCUGAAAUCUAUCCUUACUUUCGCCCGCUCUACCUACCUACUUUGUUUUAUUUGUCUCAUAGUCCUUACUAUUGUUUAGUUCUAUUAUUUGUUUGCUUGUUUACUGCCUAUUUCUCAUCCAAAAGAAGGUGAAUGUCACGAGCACAAUGACUCGUGUAUUCACUGCAUUCACUGUAUCCCUCAUGCCUGGCACAUUGUAAAUGAUCACUAAUUACUUGUCGAAUGAAGAAAUAGCUUAAGAGGUCACUAAUUUAUUGUGCUUACUGAAAUACUUUUUCUUCUUCAUAAAAUAUUCCUCCUUUCAUAUUUAGAGGAAGGAAGGGAGGAAACAUUUUCUUGACGACUUCUGGUCGCACAUAGUGGCAUCCUCCUGCUAGAAUAUUUCAGAAUAUCCAUCAGUGAGAUGAGAUGAGCUUUAAAUUCAUCAGGUAGGCCAAGCAUUAAAUCAAGACCUAUCACUUGUUCCUGCAUUUCCCCUCCUCCCUUCCAUGUGUCCUGAAACUCAGUGUUGGCCAAGAGUGUCACUAAGUGUUGGCUUAGUGUCACUGAGCAGGCUUGAUUUGUCGCUUAAUUCACUCCAGUCCUGUAGAGGAAACUGUGGAGCAAGGGGCUGGCCUUUGAGUGGUUGCUUGGUGCCUUCCUCUGGAGCAAAAGUACUUUAGCCUCACAGGUUAAAUGUGAAAGGAAAGGAAAUUCCUUUCACUCUAAAGGAGAUGACACUUGGCCAAAAGGAAGAGCACUUUCGGAUUUCCACAGUCCAACUAAUACAGGUCUUUAUUUCUGUGUAUUUCUGGCUGUUACUACUGUUUUUGAAUGGGGUGUGUUCUUAUUCUUUCUAGAUCAAUGAAAGUAACAAUGUAGCCACAAAAUGAGGACUCAGUUGAUUUUGGAAUCUAUACUCCCUUUUAGUCUCCUCCCAUUUAAGAAAAGAGACUCAAGAUCCUUUCUUGAUGUAGUGAUUGGGACCCUUUACACAAGACAGUUAAAAAACUACCUCCAUGAUCAUGAAGGAGGGAGAUUCUAUACUUCUAUGUGUAGCAUGCUGCAACGGUUAAUGCAUUUUAAAUCCUGAACAUUGUUCCUCAUAUAUAAUCUAAAUGGCCCUUGCAGAAUUUUGGGGGGGCCCCCUCUUAAAAGUUAUUCCUUCAUAUUCUUGAAAAUGGUUCUCAAUUCCAAGUCCUUUUAAUCUUUCCUAAUAGAUGCCAUCUAACUGCUCCUUAUUCAGAUUGGUGUUAUUCCCCAUGUCCCCCACUUCUAGCUUCUCAUUUUCCUAAAAUGCAAUGUCCCAGAAUAUAAAUAUUUUUCAAAUUCAUUACUUCAAAACAUAGAACAAUAUACCUUCAGAGAAAGAUCUCAUGAUGUAAAAUCUUUCACAUCUAAGUUAUCUUUGAAGUACAAUCUCAGAAUCUUAUUAACCUUCUCCCCUUUUUUGUUAGAGUCCCUAGGCUCCUCCUUUCCUUUUAAUCCUUUACCUGUGUAUGCUAAUCAUUUACCUGCUUAGCCUUUUAAUUAAAGAACAACUUCCACCCUAUUAUAUAUGGAAAGGGACUCAAACCUCUGUUCCAGUCCUACAACUUCUAAUAGUGAAUAUCAAAGAAAACUACAAUAAACUGGGCCCAAAUAACUACUCUACUUAAAUAAUAUAGUAAUAUACCACAGUUGGUAUUUAACAAUGUGCUUUAUAUAGGAAAUACCUUUAAAAUAAUCAACAGAAAUUGUGAUUAGCAGUAAGAACAAAAUAUUUUUAUGUUUCAAUUUAUUUCCUUCGUGUACUUUUAAAUAUGAAUAAAAACCUCUAAAGGUGACACUAAAAGGAUGGUUUACCACAAAAAGUCUGUAUGCUGGAGAAUAUGAUUUGACAAAAACGACAUAACUUGCAAAUGUAUAAAUCACAAACAAGAGAGGAAACUUCUCAUGAAAACUCCACUGAUUCAAAUCUCUAUUCUGAAAAGAAAGGCAGCCUUCUAUAACCAGUUCUUUACCAUAUGGUAAAUGGCAUGAUGACAAAAGCAAAAAAAGCCAAGUGUCAAACUGCAUCUUAUUGAUAAGACCUUUAUUUAGCUGACUGCUGCACAUAUGCUACACAUCAAAAGGAGAGAUUGGAAGUCAGGUUAGGACAGGUACCCUCCAUUUGUUAUUACUGAGCUAUCAAACAACAUCUGGUUAACAGGAAUUAUUAUAUACAGAAUUAAGAGGAGUUUCAAAGUAUGACAACUGAAACAAGAUAUUUUUAAUUAAAAGUGGCCUUUUUAUAAAUCUUUUUAUCCAAGGAUUUAGGGCUGUACAAACUCUUGAUUAAGGCUCAGAAGAAAGUUACCUAUGAUUUUGUGAGUCACUGGUUUGUUUCACAUUAACAGAGAAAGCUAUAUAAAGAGUUAAAGUUAUGGUUUACUGAAGAAGUGGAGCUAAACAACUGAUGGGUCUCUAGGUUAUCCAUCUCCUGUAGUGCAUUAAAAGUCAGUAAUGAACUUGGAUAUUUAAAUGGUCUUCCCAUUGUGGUCGGUAUUGCUUUGAUCACUGCAUUCAUUCCCAUUGGGGAAUAUACAGUGCGACUCUUGUAACACUGGAAAUCACGGCAUGGUCUGAUUUAUCCUUUCCUGAAUAAUCUGGGUAAUAUGGGUGAAGAUCACAUCAGGCAUUUGCCUUAAAUGAUAUAGCACAGACAUCCCUUAACCUGUCCGUCAACACUAAGAAGCAGUAACUCUUAGAGUUUCCUAAGGGUUUAUUACUGAUUUCCAAACUUGCACAAUCAAACUGGUAGGCUGCUGUAAAAUGACACUGAACAACACUCCUCAUAUUCAAUAUAAUCUUAAGUGAAGAAAAUGCUGUGAGAAUGUCUAUGUGAAUAAAUGUCACCAGAAAGCAUGCUUCUCUGUGGUUUGGAGUUGGAGGAAAGGAUAGGAAGUGAAAAGCCACACUUUUCUUUUUCUGUACCUAUCAGAUUUGAGAAAUUACUGGGUUCCCACAGAGUUCUGUUGCAGUAGGGAAACCUGUUCUGCUGAUUACCACACAUAAAGGUGAUGAAUAUGCAGACCGCUAAAAGAUAAUGCUGGGCUUAAAAGAAAUUUUUUUAACACUCACUCUCUCAUCCUUCAGAAGUUAGGGCUGGGAAGGAGGAGUAUUUCUGUUAAAAAGUAUUUUCAAUGUUUACAUGCACAGGCACUAUGCUUGUUACUUUACCAGUGAAAACAGAACAGAUAUUACAAGACCUGACACUUCAGGGGCUUAGAAUCAAACAAAACCAAAAGUCUUCCAGGAUAGAUGAGGCAUCUUUAUUACUAUUGGCCUGAGUAACUGAAAAAUCUGAACGAUGAGGUUUAACUGCACAGUCUUCUUUGAUGAGGCUAUACCACUUAAUUUCCUCAAGUGUGAUUUAGUCUCAACAACCCAGCUAGUUUCCUUUUGACAGCUGAAGUAUCAGAGGCUUUGGACAGGGUAAGGGAUUUAUCCAGGAUCACACUGGUUAAGAACAGUGCUAAAAAUGGACACCUUUAUCACUAGGGUAUCUUGCUUAUCUAUGAAGUCUGAUAUUCCUUCAUGCACUGCAGUAACAAUUGUCACUUUACCCAUACUUUGUAUUCUUCAAAAAAAUGCGUUGGGAUUUUCCCUCCUUCUCUACAUGAAUAAGUACUAAAUGAUAACCUCUGUCUGUGAAAAUAUACACUCAAAACUGAAACAAAGGAGAGCUGUGACAAGUAACCCAAAGGGUCAAAAUGUCAUCUAUUUUCAGAAAUUUGAGGGCUCACACAAACCCAAGGCAUUUUUCUAAAACAUCUCUUUCAGAUAUAAAAAAAAUUUUUAGUGUAAACUUUCAAAAGGGAUUUUCAUCUGUAUAUUCAGGGCUCUUAUUUAAUAUAACUCUUUUCCCACCUUGCGCGUUUCUUACUGGGGAGAAGGCAGAAGAAGAUUCAACUCUGUCAGUGAUUCUCUAAAAAUAUUUGUCUAAUCUGUGGCCCCUGGUCUCCUCCCUGAAGUAACACGAUAGCCCCGGGGGCCCAGGGAAAGAACCAAAAAAGUCAACCUGUGGAAGAGCUUUUCCUUUUCCAUAAAAUAACAUGAACUGGGCCACGUGCAGAGAUAACUCCUUCAUGGCAUUUUCCUAAGCUGCUCUUGAUGUGGUUUUUCAGUAAAGAGUAAACAGUUUGACAAGGAAACAAAUGCCAGGAGGUCAGAGAUCAGUUUAAAAUUCAGAUACUUUAAAAUGGGUGCUGGGUGGCUUUCUAAAUUAGAGCAAAUUGUUUCCUUUGAAGAAGACCAGUUCUUUUUCCCAGUUACUCCUUUUGUGGCAGGAUCUCAACCACUGAGUCAAACAUAAGAAGCUACACUGAUUUCCAAGUUCGUAAAAAGAAAUUUUUCUUUAUGAAACUAACUUGUUGAUCUUCAACCUUUCUGUGAAGUUACAGCAAGUGUUAACUCCAAGGUGAGACACCAGUGACUUUCUUAAGGUCACGUAGUCAGUAAGAGAUGAGCAAAUAACCCCAGAAGUACUCCCACGGGUCUACGCUUCUAACCACUAUACCACACAAGCUCACAUGUCUGAUUCAUUUUAAGAACUGAGUAGACCUUAUGAUUUCAAAGGCCCACUUUUAUAUGCUCUUCAAAUAAUUUUUGAAAUCUGUCAUUACAAAAUAAAAGAUGCUAAUGAAAACGGACAAUUCUAUUGUUUCUAAUUAAUUCAUCCUUUCUGUGACAGCCAAGAAGCAUCUUCCAACAUCAUCAACUAAUGAAGACUUUAGAAGAAGGCUAAGACAUGCCUCUCAGCAAGCAAAUCCUGGCAGACAUAGUUAAAUUAACUGAUUUAGCAUAUCUUUAUCUAGCACACUAAUAAUUGCACUAGAAUUAAGGAUAGUGGUUGUCAAUUCUGUCUGUACAAAUUACAGUUGGGGAACUUAAAAAUACAUAUGUCCAGCCUCCACCCUAGAACAGUCAAUCAAAAUCUUUGGAUCAGGUAUUUGUAAUUUUUAUUUUAUUUAUUUAUUUUUGGCCACACGGCGAGGCUUGCAGGUUGUUAGUUCCCCAACCAGGGACUGAACCCACGCCCUCAGCAGUGAAAGAGUGGGGUCCUGACCACUGGACUGCCAGGGAAUUCCCAAGUAUUAGUAAUUUUUAAAAGCUCCCUAUGUGAUUCUAAUGGACAACCAGUGUUUAGAACCACUGUUAAAUUUUUGAAUUGAGAUAAUCUGUGCAGUUCUGAUCAUUUGUUAUACUUGUUAACUAUACUGCUGGACAAAAUUGAAUAGCAAAGGAAAUGAGAUCUCUAUAUAAAUACCUAUGUAACAAAGCAGAAGGUAAUACAGUCCAAAAGAAAGGUCUCACCUAUAGAAAUUUGUACAAGGAAGAUGUUAUUUGUACCUCGGGGGGAGCUUAAGAAAGACUUCUAAGGAGGUAGUGACAUUUGAAGUGGGUCUUGAAUGCUAGGACCGAGGAACAUGAAAAGUAAAGGCAUUUUAAGCAGAGUCCACAAACAUACAAGCUAACAGAGAUGCCUGUAGGGGAAAAGAGUCAGUAGAUACAAUGUAAGGACACAAAAGAGAAAUUAGUUGGGUAGGCAGGUUGGGGCCACUUUAGGAAGGCCUUGAAUUUCAAGCAAAAUUACAUGAUAGGAGAUGGGGUAUUAGAAGGUUUCUGAACAAAGGCCUGCCCUGAUCAGAACUGAGCUUUAGUGAGAUUACUCUGGUAGCUGGAGGAAGGAUGGACUAGUUGAGGAAAGAGACACAUGGCAAGAGACGUGUUUAAGAAGGCUAUAAUUGCAGCAGUCUAGGCAAGUAAUGAAAGCCUGAUGUGGGUUGGUAGCAGUGGGAAAGGAGAAGAAGGAAGGCUUUAGCAAUUGAUUAAAUAUGGGAGAUAAAGGCAAAGGAAGCACCAAAGCCAAGUCAAACUUCAAUUCUGGGUAAUUAGGAAGAUGGAAAUGCCACCAAAGGAAAAGAAAGGGAAGAUCAGCUCAGUCUCAGAUUUCUGAGUGUGAAUUGCUUGAGGGAUAUCAAAUGGAGAUGCUCCCCCACCCCCAUAAAAUUUUGGUUUGCAACCUAGGAGAGAUGUCAGAGCUGAAGACACAACUUUGCAGGGAGGGACAAAAGAAACAUUUCAUUAGGACAACCAAUUUUCUUCCUAAGAUAACUCCAUUACCCUUUACCAAUCAUAUCUGUCCUGAUUUCUUAAACUAAUCUUUCACCAGCACUCUUCUGAAUCUCUUGCA